rnacentral:lncRNA from 10 species
GUGCAGAGCGCGGAGGAGCCGCGAGCGCUGAGGGUGAGUGCCGGGAGCUCUGAGGGGCUGUUGCAGAUAUAACUGGUGAAGAUGAGGUCAUACUGGAGUAGGAUGGGCCUUGAAUCCAAUAGGACCGGUGUCCUUAUAAGAGAGGAGAUGGACACAUGAAGACAGAGACAUACGGGGAUCAGACAAUCAUGGACGGAGGAGGAAGAGAGUGCGGCGAUGCAUCUAGGAGCCACAGGACACCUAGAAUGGCCAGCAGCCGGUGGGAACCAGGAGAGGCAAGGACGGAUCCUCUCCUCCAGCCUUCAGAGGGAGCCCGGCCCUGACCACACCUCGAUCUCAGACUCUGACCUCCAGAACUGCGAGAGAAGAAAUCUCAGUUGUUUUAAUGUACGCAGCUUGUGGCACUUUGUGACAGCAGAUACAGCAGUACUGUGACAACACUAGGAAACGAAUACACCAUCCCAGCAUCUCUGCUCUGUUUUCCAUACAGAAUUGAACUAAGGACCAGGCAAGCUAAUGCAAGUCCAAACACUGUAAAAACUUUGGAGGCAAUCUAAGGAUGUGAGCCAGAUUUGUUUGCCAGAUCUUUUUUAUUUUAUUUAUUUAUUUAUUUUAUUUUAUUUUUUUUUUUUAGUGAGAGGGAGUCUCACUCUGUUGCCUAGGCUGGAGUGCAGUGAUAUGAUCUCGGCUCACAGCAACCUCCACCUCCCAGGUUUAAGUGAUUCUCCUGCCUCAGCUUCCUGAGUAGCUGGGAUUAUAGGCACCUGCCCCCAUGCCCAGCUAGUUUUUGUAUUUUUAGUACAGACAGGAUUUCACCAUGUUGGCCAGGCUGGUCUUGAACUCCUGACCUCAGGUGAUCCACCUGCCUUGGCCUCCCAAAAUGCUAGGAUUACAGGCAUGAGCCACCAACACCCAGCCCAUAUAUUCAUAUUUUUAAUGGACUUAUACAUGAAAAUGGUAUCUCACUUUUAAAAAUAAAUGAUAUGGAAUUAUGCGUUAAAG